AUUGAACGCUGGCGGAAUGCUUUACACAUGCAAGUCGAGCGGCAGCACGGGGGCAACCCUGGUGGCGAGCGGCGAACGGGUGAGUAAUACAUCGGAACAUGCCCAGUCGUGGGGGAUAACACUUCGAAAGAAGUGCUAAUACCGCAUACGUCCUGAGGGGGAAAGCGGGGGAUCGCAAGACCUCGCGCGAUUGGAGUGGCCGAUGUCAGAUUAGCUAGUUGGUGGGGUAAAGGCCUACCAAGGCAACGAUCUGUAGCUGGUCUGAGAGGAUGAUCAGCCACACUAGGACUGAGACACGGCCCAGACUCCUACGGGAGGCAGCAGUGGGGAAUUUUGGACAAUGGGGGCAACCCUGAUCCAGCCAGUCCGCGUGAGUGAAGAAGGCCUUCGGGUUGUAAAGCUCUUUCGGCAGGAACGAAACGGUGAGCUCUAACAUAGCUUGCUAAUGACGGUACCUGAAGAAGAAGCACCGGCUAACUACGUG
rnacentral:rRNA from 1 species